rnacentral:rRNA from 1 species
UACGGAAGGUCCGGGCGUUAUCCGGAUUUAUUGGGUGUAAAGGGAGCGUAGACGGUGUGGCAAGUCUGAUGUGAAAGCCCGGGGCUCAACCCCGGGACUGCUUUUGAAACUGUGGAGCUGGAGUGCAGGAGAGGCAAGUGGAAUUCGUGGUGUAGCGGUGAAAUGCUUAGAUAUCACGAAGAACCCCGAUUGCGAAGGCAGCUUGCUAAACUGUAACUGACGUUCAUGCUCGAAAGUGUGGGUAUCAAACAGG